AAUUGUUGUCAUAUCGUGCUGGAAUGUGGUAACUCUGUAUGUAUUCGUUCGACAGUAGAUUAAUGAACACUCUAUUUAUGAAAGCUUUCUCCCUAGUGAUUAGCCUAGUCGUGAUUAGCGUGGUGGUGAUUAUUAUCCCACCGUGCGGGGCAGCACUUGGACGAAGAAUGGCUUAGAAAUCAGGCCCGAAUUCAAGAAAACCCCCGCACCGAAAGGUCGGGGGUUUUUUUUUCGGGCGUAAUGUAUAACGUAAGGGAGCAGAAAAUGGUUAGUGGUACAGAAUGCUGUUAUUCCCGCAAGAU
rfam:Brenneria sp. EniD312 BrE3212scaffold_1_Cont1, whole genome shotgun sequence.